UGGGGAAUAUUGCACAAUGGGCGCAAGCCUGAUGCAGCCAUGCCGCGUGUAUGAAGAAGGCCUUCGGGUUGUAAAGUACUUUCAGCGAGUAGGAAGGCGGUAAGGUUAAUAACCUUAUCGAUUGACGUUACUCGCAGAAGAAGCACCGGCUAACUCCGUGCCAGCAGCCGCGGUAAUACGGAGGGUGCAAGCGUUAAUCGGAAUUACUGGGCGUAAAGCGCACGCAGGCGGUCUGUCAAGUCGGAUGUGAAAUCCCCGGGCUCAACCUGGGAACUGCAUUCGAAACUGGCAGGCUAGAGUCUUGUAGAGGGGGGUAGAAUUCCAGGUGUAGCGGUGAAAUGCGUAGAGAUCUGGAGGAAUACCGGUGGCGAAGGCGGCCCCCUGGACAAAGACUGACGCUCAGGUGCGAAAGCGUGGGGAGCAAACA
rnacentral:rRNA from 1 species